rnacentral:lncRNA from 1 species
GUGACUUGUGCUGAGGUGGGACCUGUCAGCACGGGGUGAGUCCUGAGCUGGGGAGCAGGGAGGGCACUGCAGCCGUGGCUUAAAUUCAAGCCCCUACCAGCCAGCAGUGGGCGCUGUUGCUGUGCACUGGGCACCCCAAGCCCCAGGGCCCCUUGGCAGAAGGCAGUGGGGCUGCUCGGCCAGAGGUCACCACCGCUGUCCACAGCUCGACCGAGCCCGGCUGGGACAUGCCUCCGGCUCAUCGUCACUCUGCCUCCCCAUUUCUCUGAUCUGCUGAAAGACGUGUUCAAGGUUGUUGACCUCAUGAAUUGGAAAACCAGAAGCGGGGGGAAACCCUCUGGGCCCCAGGCAAGAGGCUCCAGAACACAGGGCAUGCAGCUCCACAUCCUGAGGCUCAGUCUUUGCCUAAGGAUGGACACGGCUGCACCUGAGGGCCACCGACAGGACCCUGCUAAGGCUGCCAGUUGCCGCUACCCCUCCGACUCCAGCCCCUGAGACCUCCUCUAGACACUGUUACUCCUCUGCAUUCGAGGCCAUGCCUGCUGCCACCGGCCACUGCAGACCCUGUCGCUGCAGGUCCCGGUCAAAUUUGCGGGCACUGCUGGGCCGCUGAACGUGGCCGCACCUCUAAGUCUUGGGCUGCAACCGAAGUGACUGCAUUUCCUGUGCCUCUGAGCUCCUAGCAGCUGAGGCGACAGCCAGAUGCGCCAGGGCUGCUGAUCCCCAUCCCGCAGGGACGUGGACACACUGCCAGGAGCAAACUGGAGCUGUGGCUGCUGCAGGUGGAUAUCCCUGUGCUUACAAAAAAUGGACUUUUUCCAAGGCUGCCAGGGGCUGCUGGCGCCCUGACCAAGGCUGCUGAUGGGCCCCCAUCCUUCUCAACGUGACGUAUCGAUGUCGAUGUUGACCUUGAUCUCCUGACUGAGGUCGUGUUUGACAUAUUUUGAUCAGACUGUUGAGCCAGACAACUCCACCGGCACUUAACAUUCCAGUCCAGAGGCAGCCAGCGCACACUUGCAGAAGAUUCCACGCCUUUAGACUCUGGCAAGAAGCGAGAGCCCCCCGGUACAUAGUUGUAUAUUCUUCGUUGUGAGUCCUUCUAGUUGUGGCAUGUGGGACGCCGCCUCAGCGUGGUUUGAUGAGCAGUGCCAUGUCCGCGCCCAGGAUUCGAACCAACGAAACACUGGGCCGCCUGCAGCGGAGCGCGCGAACUCAACCACUCGGCCACGGGGCCAGCCCCUUACUUUCGCAUCUUUAACAUAAAAGAAAAUAUCAGCCAACCUUUAUGUUGAAUUUGUCAAUUGCAGCCAUAGGUUAGCUAGGAUAUAAGAGUUUGGCAAAAACCAACAGAAGCAUUCUGUGAGAAUCAAUUGGCUCUAUGGAAUUUACAAUAAAGAUUAAUGCAUAUUUUAUUAUUUUUAAAUUGUAAAUUACUCAUCCUUUAUAUCAGUA